UACAAAACAUGUUUUUUAGUUUAUGUUAAAAGUUUGGCCUGCUCAGUGAUUUUUUAAAUAGCCGCAGUAUUUUAACUGUGGUUAGGUAGCAUAAUAAUUAGUCUUUUAAUUGAGGUUUGGAAUGAAUGGUUUGGCGGGAAAUUUACUUUUUUUUUUAAAAUUUUUUUGAAUUUAAAUUUUUAGUUAAAAUUUUAAAAUUUUUUAGUGGGGCGAUAAGGCCCUAUAGAUUUUAAAAUUUUUUAAUUUAAUUAUUUUUUUGUUAAUUUUUUUGUUUAAAUUAAAUAAUUUUUUAUUGGGGUGAUAGAAAAAAUUUUUAACUUUUUUUUUUUUUUACAUUUAUUUAUGAAUAAUUUGAUCUUGAAUUUUGGAUUAUAAGUUGAAGAUACCUUAGGGAUAACAGCGUAAUAGAAUUGGAGAGUUCAAAUUGAUAAUUUUGUUUGCGACCUCGAUGUUGGAUUAAAUUUAAGUUGUGGGGUAGGUUUUACAAUUUAGGUC
rnacentral:rRNA from 1 species